CCUACGGGAGGCAGCAGUGGGGAAUAUUGCACAAUGGGGGAAACCCUGAUGCAGCGAUGCCGCGUGAGUGAAGAAGUAUUUCGGUACGUAAAGCUCUAUCAGCAGGGAAGAAAAUGACUGUACCUGACUAAGAAGCCCCUGCUAACUACGUGCCAGCAGCCGCGGUAAUACGUAGGGGGCAAGCGUUCUCCGGAUUUACUGGUGGUAAAGGGAGCGUAGACGGCAGCGCAAGUCUGGAGUGAAAUCCCAUGGCUUAACCAUGGAACUGCUUUGGAAACUGUGCAGCUAGAGUGCAGGAGAGGUAAGCGGAAUUCCUAGUGUAGCGGUGAAAUGCGUAGAUAUUAGGAGGAACACCAGUGGCGAAGGCGGCUUACUGGACUGUAACUGACGUUGAGGCUCGAAAGCGUGGGGAGCAAACAGGAUUGGAUACCCGAGUAGUC
rnacentral:rRNA from 1 species